UGAGUUUAAGUCUCAACUAACUAUGCAAUUUUUCAGGUUCAUAGCAUCUUCUAGAGUGUGUUCGGAGCCCAUGAUCAGUUUUCCAAAUCUUAAAAUUGAAAGGGAAUGGCAGCAUUGGAGAUAAAAAGCAUUCAUUUAGGUUACUGCAGAAAAAGAGUUACUUCAUUUAGCAAAACUGGUGCUGUUUCAUUUUUGACUGUUCUUGGAUAAAAACAAUGGAAAGUAUAAAAAUUCAUAGAAAAGAUCUUGGGUAAUGCUCUUCGUUGGAAAUCCGAAUAAUUUGAUCCAUUUACUGUUUUACAUUUUUUAAGGAAACAAAGUAUACGCAUAACUAUAUAUAUGGCAAAAGGUGGAGGGCAGUAAAUAGAAGAAUGACCAAUCUCCCCGCUUUCCCCCAGAACACCACAUAGUCUGGAUUUUCUCUGCAGUGGUGCUCCACAGAGCUGGUUUAAAACUGGCUUUUGUUCAUUUCUCCCUGCCUGUUCCUGCCUUUAACUCCUUGACUGGCCUUAACAUUCCCUCUUGGCUAUAGAACUUUGCUACAUGAAAGUCAUACACUUAGAUGAAGUUAAAUUGUAUGUGAUGGGUGCUUGCUUUGUUGCAUGUCUUUCCCUUCCUUUUGAUCCCAUCCCUCAGUAUUUUCUAAAGGGCCUCUUACCUUAACCCAAACUGAUUUUAAUGGUAGAAAUUCCGGAUACCAUGACAGAUUGAUGGGGGGUGAAUUCCUGGGAAGAGUUUUGGGGAAUUUCUCAAAAACUCUUAAGUAGCGAAAUUUGUGCUGUGUGUCAGGUUACUUUUGGCUGUGGGGGAAUUAAAAAAAAAUACAAAAACAAAAAGCGCUGUCUUUCUUUGUAUUGCCAGCUUUUAUAGACUGUGAAGACAAAAUACACAUAGGGAAAUUCUGGAAGGAUAUCUAAGAUCAUAUAAUCAAGAAGCUGGUAGCUAAGCAAAAUAUUAAGUAAAUAAGGAUUCAAGCCACCAGUGUUACUAGCUGAAUGAGAUGGUAAUACUGCUUAAGAAGAAAAUAAAAAUAUGCUACAUCAGUAAUAAUCAUCAUGUUUGGAUUUUGAAACAAAGUAUUAAAUAAUGCCAUUUCUUUGUGGUGUGUCAAGAAGAGCUCAUUGUGAAUUUAUUUUACUUAGAUUUAUUACCACCAGUUCAGUUAUUCUGUGUAUAUUCUUUGUAUCUGGUUUUCCAUUUGAGUUCAGUAAAACCGCAUUAAUUCAAUCUUAUUAAACGUCAGUGUUUGGUGGCUAAAGUUUACAUCAGCACUGGAUAUGAAGAAAGGGGCCUGCUAAUCUAAUUAAUACUAUAAACAACAUGAUUUGGGCAUGGUUAAUAUACUUAACAAAACAUUCUUUUCAAGACAUACUGAAUAGCAUGUAAAUUAAUGCUAUUAAUUAUAAAUUAGAUUAAUCUAUUAGUAUUUUCUUUCAGGAUUUCUACUGUAAAGUCAAUAUAACAAAAAUGCAUGGUUUUCAAAACAUUUUGUAAACUUAAGGCUGAAAGCAACAAUUGAGACUGUGAUUCAGGGAAAUUCCAGUGAUUCUAAAGUGCCAUCAAUUAGAAAAUUAACAUUUAAAAAAUAAUAUUUUUUUUGGAAACUGGGGGAAAGAACCUCUACUUUAAAUGAGCCAUGUAUUUUAAGACAUCCAGUUAAAAUGUGAAAAAAGUAACACCUUAGAAUCUAGUUAGAGGUUUACUCCAACAUUUGUUUAUAUUAGUUUAAAAAUACGCCAUUUUAAGUCUAUUUCAUGUUUUAAGUCUAUUUGUUUCUAUAAGUAUGACCUGUUUUUAUUUGUAAUCUUAGAAAUAUGAAAUAUGACUUUGAUAUACCCUACGCUUAUAACUUUUAUAAUUGGCCUCUUAUACUUUUCCUUAUCUUUUCUGUGUCAGCCAUGUGUAAAGUUGGAACUAAUUAUGAAACCAAAUAAAGAAUCCAUUUAGAGUGACCUCAUUGGAAAACAGCAUUUUUCUAGACAUACCUUCCUCUUAGCAAAUCCAGUUAAAUUACUAUUUUGAAAGUUUUGUGAAAAUAUUGGACACUCCAGAACUGUAGAGAAUGAUGAUGAUUCAUGAUCUGGAACUUUGGUAAAUACUAAAAAAUCAUAUUGUUAACUUUUUUCCAGCAACUUUCUUGAUAUUCAAGAGAGAUAUAGUGAGAUUUUGAAUUCCAUCUUUCUAUAAUUGCCCUGUUAUAUUUUGUAAGUCACAGGCUAUUUUCCUCAAAUGUAAAAUUGUACUCACCCCUCACUUGUGGGAACUUGAACUCACCACUCAUAAGUGGAAUUUGAGAGCCCAUGCAGUCAUGCUUGCUCCCCUCGCCUGGGAAUGGCUGUUUGGUCACUGCUGACACAGAAUUACAAAUGACAGCGUCUUAAUAAUGUAUUUUCAGGGUCACUCAAGAAUAGUCAGAACAAUUAGUAUUGAAAUCUGUGAAUGCCUUGGGUCUACAACAGUAGCUUAUGGUGGCAUUUAUUUUAUAGUUGAAGAAAUGGAGACAGAAUAGAUAGAAUGGUCGGUCACAGGUGGGACUAGAAUGCAGCAAAAUAUGAUGGUCUGUCUGACUUUCUAUGAACUAUCUCCUGGAACUGGAAAUUCUGCGAAUGUCUGCAGAAAGCAAAACAAACAAGUAGAUACCAGAGAUUUAUGUUAACAGCUGCCUCCAGAUUAUGACAUGCCACCUUACAAUGUUUGUCAGUUUCAGAUUUGGACUUGAAGAGAAAAGGACCUGGCAAAUUCCAUGAAAAAACAAACAAACAAAACCAAGACCAGAAAAAAACCCUCUUCCUUUGUUUACAUCUCAAUUUAUCAUUUUCUGUAAUGCUUUUGUAAUUCAGAAAUGCAGCCUUCUUCAACAUAACCUCCUGCCCUCCUCCUGCCCUCCUCUGGCCCCCAAAAUGUCAUUGGAUUCUAUCCAGUGGGAAGAUAUAUGGGCUAUGAGAAGUUAAAAAAAUGUGGCACCAACUCUGCUGACUCCUUAUAUUUUCCUAAGUGGGCUUUAAGCCAUCCAUUGACAUGUGUUUUUAAACAUCCUGUAAGCUCUGCCAUUUUAUCAAAUUAAAUUAAAAGCACAAUAUAUUGUCUUACAAUGACAGAACCUGAGUCAGGACUUCCAAGUUUGUGUUGUUGUUGUUGUUGUUAUUUUGCUUUUUACAAAGGAAUUAAAUUUUUUUUUCAUUAUACCUGGCAUCGUUGGUCUGCUAUGCAUAUUUAAUGUUAAUAAAGUACAUGCGUACCUUC